UAAUCCUACAGAUAUUAAAAUAGAACAAGAGACACAACUAGAUGUAGAAAAUUAUUAACCUGCUGUGCCAACUUCACAAAUACCUGAUAAUGCAAAUAAGCUAAAUGUAACUUCAGAAUAGAAAUCUAACUUCAGUUCUUAUGAUGAUGGUGCGAGUACAAUGCUCCCAGUGCAACUGAAACAACUGUAUCUAGUAAAUUCACAAUUUUUAAGAGGUCAAGACUUUUUUUUUAAUGGAUAUAAAUAAAGUUGAGAACUUCUUCAGGAAAGGAGACUUGAUACUCUCCCGAGAAGAAAAAGACAUCAUUCUAUGAAGAUAAGCUGGUCAACUUCAAUGAAGGUAUAGAAACAUGUCAGCAACGAUCAAAAGAAAUGGGAGGCACCAGAGCUAAAUUUAAAGUGUUGUUGCAAAGGGGUACUGAAUGUACAUUAAUGAGAAAAAUGAAUUUCAAUAACUGUGGAAUCAGGCUGCAGCAUAACAAAAUUGACAAAAGUGAAGAGG